CAUUUCCUUCUUCAUCUUCUCCUCCCCCUCCUUCCGUGAUGCUCACUCGCCUAUAAAUAGCCCUCGCUGCCUGCCAUUGUUCCUCAAGCCAGCAAGCAAGAAGCACACAGGAAGCUCCUAGCCAACACCAAUCAAGGCCUCCAUCCAAUCCCAAGCAACCUCGAAUAUGUCUUGCUGCGGAGGAAACUGCGGAUGCGGCACCGCCUGCAAGUGCGGCAACGGCUGCGGUGGCUGCAACAUGUACCCCGAGGUUGAGGCCGCCGGCGCCACCCUCCUCGUCUCCGCCACUGCCACUCACAAGGGGUACGUCCCUUCUCUUGACAAAAUUUUCUCCACAGCUCAUACAUCAUCAUGCACUCGAUCUUUUUUUUUUGCGGGGUACGUGCAGGAGCUCCGGCGGCAUGGAGAUGGCGGCCGAGAACGGCGGCUGCGGCUGCACCCAGUGCAAGUGCGGCACCAGCUGCGGCUGCUCCUGCUGCAGCUGCUAGAUCAUUGAUCAUGCAUGCGCCGCGUGCAUCAUAUCUAUGAUCUACGUAUCCAUCUACUACCAUGUAAUGCCACCUGAUCGAGGGUCUUUGUAUGUAUGUAGUAUGUACGCACCUGCCUGCAUGAGCAGAGCGGGUGCCAUUCCAUGCAUGUAAACCCCUAAAUAAAAUCUCCCGUGGUUUUGCUUACAUCGUGUUGUUAGAUCCUCCUCCUAUUAGUGUUGCUUUCGGGUUCUUCUUAUGCACUAGCAGGAUCAGAGGCCGGUCUUUUGUUCUUGGUCUUCUCCUCAAACUGUCGUUUUCCUCUUCUCUAUGGUUCCAUGUGCGGCAGUAUUUUCUUCUUCUGUUGCCGAGUGUUGUAUCAGACUGUACCUUGUUUUGUGGUUUAUUCCUAUCCAUCUCGAAAUAUAGUGCAGGAAUUUAUUUGCAAAAGGUGGAUCUCAACAAGACACGACGGUAUGUGUAUCUUGCAGGAUUUAUUGAUCGGUCUAUCUUAUGCAUCUUAUUAAAAAAAUACAUUAAGGUCUCAUGGUCAAGCCAAAUUAUCAUUGUUUUUCCUUGCAUGCAAAAUGCAGCAAUAAAUCUUCGUCCUUGGCUUGUUUCUCAUUUCACUGCCUACGUUGCAGGUAUCCGACCCUGUUGGAAUCUCCUUUUCUGUCAUUGUGUUCACUUUCUGUGAUGUGAUGUGUGCGCAAAUAUUCCCACAACAACAACAUAAUAAUAAAGCCAUAUACGCAAGCAACCGAAUAAUGGCAAUGAUAUAUUACUGCUCAAGGCGCAUCUCCAAAUCAACCUGUCAUGUCCAUGGCUGCGUCUAAGCACUCGGGGCAGAAAUACUCACUCUCCGCCACUGAUUCAUAUCACCGAAUCCACACGGCCAAAUUACGUCCUCCAUGUUUUAAGCGAUGCCACUAUAUCUCGUGGGAAAAUUGUUUCCACAGUUCGAUAUCCCUCCCUUUGAUGAAAAAAUUCACGCUUGGCUUCUGCAUCACAGAGUGCAGAUAACGAAUAUUGUUUUCUAUGUUCUGAACUGGAACACUAUAUCUUGUGUAAAAAAUUGUGUCAACAAUAUCGAUAUUCCCUCCUAUAAAAUAAAAUCAUCAAUAGCUCACUUCUCUAUAUAACUGGAUGCAAAGUAAUGGGCGGUGUGGAGCACCCAAGACAGCACGCAAAAUAUCGGUGUUAUUUUAACUCCACUACGUAGACAAGUCACUAUAUUUACACAAUUAUGUAAGAAAAAGAGCUCUUUUAUGGUACCCUGUAUUGAAUAUUGACCGUCCAUCUGCAAAGAUCCAAUGGUGGGUACUUAUCUGUACUGGUGAAACUGGAUUAGCAGCAUCGCUAGUACCGCACGUCUCACGUCCACCGGUAUACUGCUCGGAGGGCAUUAUCGGUGACUCUGCAUCACCGGCAGCCGCCCGCCGGGGCUCGCCUCCUCUUCGCCCCCAUGCCCGCUGGGGCGCCUCCUCCCUGCCUUUAAUCCGCUGUGCUAUGCAUGCUUCUAUGGUUUUGGACUUCUGGCAUGGCACCGUGCGCCCCAUCCCCCUUCCACGCUACGGCCGCGAUGUUCUUUGCCGCCCCGCAUGGCUGAGCAGUGAGCACCUUAGCAUCGCGUUUAUUGUGUUGCCUCGUUCAUGACGACAGUGCAUGCCAAACCACCCUGCGUUGACGAUGAGGCCAGGAUGUGUACAACGUCGUGGUCUUCACGGAGAGCUGCGGCUACGAGAGUGCCGGAGCCUGGCGGAACCUCGCCUAUUUUGUGCUAACCAUGCCCUCGCUACGCUCAUGGCCGUCCUCCUUUAUUUUACUACCGCUUGCCUUCAUGAUCGAGCUCUUCAUGGCCUGGAUCACGCUUUACUUUAGCCUCAGCUUGCCGGACGUGGAGCAGCUACUCAUCUGCCUUUGCUGUGAGGUCGACGACCACGUCAUUGUUCAAAAGCUCACCCAGGCAGGGCUCAACAUACCUGUUUCCUCGUCGUCACCCCGCUGUCACAGACUCACAGGAGUGCACGAUGCAUUCCGAAAUAUUGAUUCGCCAGAGCAAUUCCCUUCACGAACACAAGAAGAGCUUUCACCGUCACAUAUACUGCUCCCUCCCCAGUAGCAGUAUAGGGUACCAUAAAAACCCUCAAGAAAAAUAAAUAACUCAGAGAACUGUCUGGCCAUAGAUGGAGCUUUCUACAGAUGGGGACAAGAAUUUGGCACCACCCACUCAAUUUCCCUCUCACCUUUUUGCAUUGCUUUCAUAUGUAAAAAAACAAAAACAAAAUAGUGAGUUGACUUGCGAUCUGCCUUAAAAUGACAAGAUGACGGUUGGGGGUUAAAAAAACAUUCAAAUGCAUUUUAUAUAUUCAUAUGUUUACUUAUUUUGUAUUUGUUUGUGCAUGUCAUAAAAAUCAUCAAUUUCCACAAGCAUACAUAAUACUCAAUGAUCUACAUUGACAAUAGGCUUUGAGAUUUUUCAACGCAUGACAAGAAAAAUCAAAUGAGGUCAGCUGGAAAUUAAAGAUCAGUUUUGACUUCCAAAAAAUUAUGAUCUCUUUUGUCCAAACUUAAAAGGAAUCAUUACAGAAAAUUUGGAGAUUCCAAUUGUUAGAAUAUUUUCCUACAGGACUAGUAGGGCUGGGAACCAUAAUGAUAUUUUCUAUGGCCUAAUUGACAUGUUUAUGUUGAGCCAAAUCUUUUGGAAAUAGUUUCGUUGAUUCAGUGACAACUAUGUGCUUGCACCUAACGCUUGAGAAAAUUCUUGUAUUUUUUCCCUCUUGCAAUAAAUCAACAUCCAUAUUUUACGCAUUUACUCCAUCUUCAAUUCCCACAGAAUUCAACACAGCAUGACCUGAAAUCUGUGUGUUAAGUUUUCCGGUUCCUGUCUUUUUAAAAUGCUGCAAAAGUAUGUGGCAUGUAAUCUUUAAAAAUAGUGGGAGUGUGAUAGUUAUUGAAAUGCAUGUAGGAUGGAAACUAAAAUUUCAGUAAAAUUCAGCUUAUAACACUAAAAUUGAAAAGGUUGCCAAGCCUAUGGCAACCAAGAGCCGCCAAGAUUUCUUAAAUAACAAAUAUUUUCGGCGACCUCCCCCAAAGAAGACAUAGCUUUUUCCUUGUCUUGACAUUCAAAAGCACUGAGUGAGGGGUAUCGGCUGAAUAUAUUCACUAAGGGCAUGCACAAAAGAGAGUUGACUAUUAUUAUUUUGCAAUGCUUUCAGAAUUUAGUUUGAUAUUGGUUUAAUUCAUAGUUCAUAAUUUACCGAGAAAUACCACUACGAGGUCAAGCACCCCUAAACUUGACCGUUAUGGCUGCAUGCAUCAAUGUAUGCCGAGGGCCGCGCGCGGGGGGUCUUGUUUGGAAAAUAAUAAUGAUCUUAUAGUGCAAUGAUUGGUCAUUGCCUAAGGUAUUUCCCUCUGUUCCAAGAUACAAGGUGUAUUUUUUAUUAAAAAAAACAAAAUUCCCUAUGUUUGACCAAAUUUAAAAUAAAACGUCUCUGUGUUUGGAAACCAUUUAUAUUUUUAUAAGCUCGAUCAAACAUAGAAGAUUUGACUUCAGAAAAAAAAAUAGUACAACUUAUAUUAUGAAACGGGAGUUAGUAGGUACACCAAUAAUUCGAUAUACGCACAAAAUGCUGGCUGUAGUUCCUUUCAUGGCUCCUUUGAUGUAAGAAAGAUGCUAGUAGAGACUAGAGACAAAGGGAAUCAAAUUAUGGGAGGAGGCGGCCCUAUCUAUAUUCCUCUUCCCCAAGCGGUUGCUCCCGUCCAUCCUUUGCCAAAAGUGGAGCAUCUCCCAUUUCCUUCUUCAUCUUCUCCUCCUCCUCCUUCCUUCGUAUUCACUCACCUAUAAAUAGCCCUCGCUGCCUGCCAUUGUUACUCAAGCCAGCAAGCAAGAAGCACAAAAGAAGCCAACACCAAUCAAGGCCUCCAUCCAAUCCCAAGCAACCUCGAAGAUGUCUUGCUGCGGAGGAAGCUGCGGCUGCGGCAGCGCCUGCAAGUGCGGCAACGGCUGCGGCGGCUGCAACAUGUACCCCGAGGUCGAGGCCGCCGGCGCCACCCUCCUCGUCGCCGCCACCGCCACCCACAAGGCGUACGUCCCUUCUCCUUCCUCAUAUAUCAUGCACUCGAUCGUAACAAUAUGACUGUAUGUUGAUCUUGGUAUGGGUGGGGUACGUGCAGGAGCUCCGGCGGCAUGGAGAUGGCGGCCGAGAACGGCGGCUGCGGCUGCACCCAGUGCAAGUGCGGCACCAGCUGCGGCUGCUCCUGCUGCAGCUGCUAGAUCAUCGGUCAUGCAUGCACCGCGUGCCUCAUAUCUAUGAUCUAUCUAUAUAUCCAUCUACCACCAUGUAACGCUACCUGAUCACGGUCUUUGUAUGUAUGUACGCACCUGCCUGCAUGAGCAGAGCAGGUGCCAUGCCAUGCAUGUAAACCCCUAAAUAAAAUCUCCCGUGGUUUAACCCCCUAUACAUGUGUUUGUGUUAUAGUCUUAUAGACCAACUUCUGGCCCAUGUUUACUAUGAACUUGCGACUUGCGAGGUGCCUGGGUUGUUAAUAGACCAGCUGGAUGCUCUCUUGAAGCAACGUAUGCACCGCUUGGAGUCGGUGUAUCUUUAUACACAUGUAUUUAUUUUACAGGUGUAUAUCAUCGGCCACACCUGGGAAAAAACGAUGGAUGGAGAAGUGUAAAUUUACAGGGGUAUUGCUCUGUGAAACGAGAAUCGAAUCAGGGCCUUAAGGGUAGGGAUGGCAAUGGGUAGGGUAUGGGCGCGUACGACUUUUUUCUGCCCAAACCCAUACCCAAAUCUUUUUUCUAUACCCAUCUAUUUCAAUAUCCAUGGACACAAAUUGGUACCCAUGCCCAUACCUAUCGGGUAUAUUAUACCCAAUGGAUAUCCAAUGGGUAUAGUAUCUAACAUUGGCAUGAUAAAGGUAAGCCAAGAAAAGGGCCUAAAACUAAAUUUAGGUACUCGGCCAUCACAAUCCGGUUUGCACUUACAUCAAAAUUUUACAAUGUGGAUUGACACACAAAUGUCUUAAUCUUCAUUACAAACUAACUUAAAAAAACAAGUUUCAAACUUGCAAUGCCAAUCACUGUAGGUAUUAUAGGGUUUAAUUUAUUUAUUAAUUUUUCUGGGUAUCCAUUAGGAUACCCAUGGGUAUAAUUUCAUACCCAUACCCUACCCAUGCAUUUUGCGGGUAUGGACACCCAUUACCCAUGGGUAUGAAGUAGUAAAAAGUCUUAUCCAUGCCCACUGUUUUCGGGUAGGGUACCCGCGGGUACCCAUACCCAUGGGCAAAACUGCCAUCCCUACUUAAGGGCGUUUGAUACAUGCGAAUAUUACUGGCCAAAGUUGAGUAUGAGAUACAUACAAUACAAACUUGACACUUUUGAAAGUCGUGCUAUCAAUCAUGAGACGCAUAGUUUAGCCAAAUUCUCGCUUAAUCUUUGUCAAAGGGUGUCACAUCUGGUUUGGCCAACCCCAUGAUCCGAUAUGUAUCCUACUCUCUGUGGUUUUCGAUGAAUAAAAUUUGGUUAAACCCUAAAAAAACUUAUUUGACGCGCCUUAGUUUUUUUCGAGAAUUUUUUUUAAAUCCGUUCAUCAAUCAUGGCAGUACAAAAAUCACAACCAGGUCCAUGAACCACCUAGCGACGACUACACUCACUGGAGCGAGCUAAACGUGCGCCGCCAUUAUCGCCCCUCCCUUACCGGAGUCGGACAAACCUUAUUGUAGUAGACAGUUGGAAAGUUAUCGUGCUAAGACCCUCAAGGACCACCGCACUGCAUAGCAACCAUCGUCGAUGAAAAGAGUUGUAGAUUGGAAAGAUCAAAGCUAUAACCACACAAGCGAAGACGAACAAAAAUGGAUCCAAUAGAUCCACCAAAGUCCAGCACGACAGAAUCCUGUGAGAUCCGGCGGGGACACACCUCCACAUGUCCUCCUCCGAUGUUAUUCGCACCACCGGGACGAGGAUCGGAUGUGGGAGACAUUAUUCCUACCCAGGGACAUCACUACCGUCACACAGCCCCAACCAAGACGUUAAACCUAACAAAAACGAGAACGGGUCCCUCCCGCUGCCGGGGGGCCAAGAUCCUCCGCACUCCGGGGAAUCGGCGCCGGCGGCAACGGGAUGAGAAAGGAAACUUUUCUUGAGAAGGAGGAAAGACAGACACAUACUGUUGUGUCUAAAUUACCGUGUCUUAGUUUGAUGUACUAUUUGCACCAGCUACUUCAUAACUAGAUUGCCAUGGUUGACGAUGGGUGUGUUCCCCUCUACUAAUAGUGCGGCAGUGCCCUAGCGGCGACAACUAUAUCAUGAACAAUUAAAACUUCACGAAAUUGGUGGCCUGGUGACUUAUGCCUGUGCCUAUAUCGCACGCUCUUUUGUGAUGACAAAGAAACAGAUUAUCAUUUUCGGAGGUUAAAUGGAAACAGAUGGAGUGAACCACAUGUAUGUUGUACCAGCAAAACAAUAUUUAAAUCGAUUCGUUGAUGAUUUCCUUGAUAUAAAAUUUGAGGUGUGCUCUACAACACCCCACCCUACCCCCGGAGCUCCUAUUUGGCACGCUAAGCGCUAGCGGUCGAGCCCGUGCGCGUCCCCUUCCCUUGCACACCCAUUUGGGUCGGCCCAUGCGCGGGGCGGGACACGCCGUUUUUAUUUUUUAUUUUUCUUUUAUUUAUUUUUUAAAUAAUUCAGGAUUUCAAAAAGUUUCAAAUUUAAAAAAAAUGUCAACUUUGAAAAAACAAAGAAAUCAUAAAAUGUUCAUGGAUUCAAAAAAUAUCUUGAAUUUGAAAGACAUGUCCGGACAUUCCCAAAAUGUUCAUAAAUUUGAACAAAAUGUUCACAAAUUAAAAAACAUGUUCAGAAAACUAAAUAAAUGAUUCUCAAUUACGAAAAUAUUGAAAAAUCAAAAAAUGUUCGUUGAUUCAAAAAAUGUUAAUUAAUUUCGAAAAAUAUUUGUCAAACAAAUAGUAUUCAUGAAUGUCAAAAAUUGUUCCCAGAUUUCAAAAACUAUUUCUUGUCAAAAAUUAUUCAGCAAUUCAAAUGUCCAUGAGUUUUAAAACAAUGUUUACAAUUUUAAAAAAUUCUUAGAUAUAAAAAAAUGUUUGUGAAUUCAAAAAAUAUUCAAGAUUAAAUUAAAUUCAUGAAUUUUUAAACAUGUUCAUGAAUUUGAAAAAUAAUCACAACAAAACAAUGUUCAUGCAAUUGGAAAAUGCUCACAAUUUAAAUAAUGUUAAAAAUCAUUAAAAAGUUCAUAAAUUUGAAAAUAAGUUCAAAAAAUGAAAGACUGAAAAAAGAAAAGAAAAACUGACAUCAAAAUAGGAAAAUAUAAAUAAGGUAAAAACGAAAACGAAAAAUAGAAAUGAAAUAAUGAAAAUGAAAAAACAAAAAUAACCCGAAAGGAAAAAACUGGUAUGGAAAGGUUCUAGAACGUUCCCAAAACCGAAAAGGAGGUACUUGGGCCGCCCCAAAAUGUGUACCUAGUGGGAGGGGCGUAUGCGCUAGGAUUAGCCCCCUAAAAAGCUUCACAACUUUUGAGCAGAUCAAUGGUCUAGAUUAAAACAUGUCCUUUACUUUAGAAGGGGUAAUAUAAAAAAUUCACAUUAUAAAAACACUUGCAAUAAAAAAGAUAACGGGCGCUCUAGAAACCCAUGGCGGCUAGUGCGACUUGUUUGGAGCUAUUCGUCUCCUUCCCAACCCUUAUCCACUACCCCGGUCGUCCAUGUAUCUGUCAAAAGUGUUAGAUGAAGGAAAUAUGCCCUAUAGGCAAUAAUAAAGUUAUUAUUUAUUUCCUUAUUUCAUGAUAAAUGUUUAUUAUUCAUGCUAGAUUUGUAUUAACCGGAAACAUAAUACAUGUGUGAAUACAUAGACAAACAUAGUGUCACUAGUAUGCCUCUACUUGACUAGCCCGUUAAUCAAAGAUGGUUAAGUUUCCUAACCAUAGACAUGAGUUGUCAUUUGAUUAACGAGAGCACAUCAUUAGGAGAAUGAUAUGAUUGACUUGACCCAUUCCGUUAGCUUAGCACUUGAUCGUUUAGUAUUCUGCUAUUGCUUUCUUCAUGACUUAUACAUGUUCCUAUGACUAUGAGAUUAUGCAACUCCCGUUUACCGGAGGAACACUUUGUGUGCUAUCAAACGUGACAACGUAACUGGGUGAUUAUAAAGGUGCUCUACAGGUGUCUCCGAAGGUACUUGUUGGGUUGGCGUAUUUCGAGAUUAGGAUUUGUCACUCCGAUUGCCGGAGAGGUAUCUCUGGCCCACUCGGUAAUACACAUCACUUAAGCCUUGCAAGCAUUGCAACUAAUGAGUUAGUUGCGGGAUGAUGUGUUAUGGAACGAGUAAAGAGACUUGCCGGUAACGAAAUUGAACUAGGUAUUGAGAUACGGACGAUCGAAUCUCGGGCAAGUAACAUACCGAUGGCAAAGGGAACAACGUAUGUUGUUAUGCGGUUUGACCGAUAAAGAUCUUCGUAGAAUAUGUAGGAGCCAAUAUGAGCAUCCAUGUUCCGCUAUUGGUUACUGACCGGAGACGUGUCUCGGUCAUGUCUACAUAGUUCUCGAACCCGUAGGGUCCGCACGCUUAAAGUUCGAUGACGGUUAUAUUAUGAGUUUAUGGUUUUUGAUGUACCGAAGGUAAUUCGGAGUCCUGGAUGUGAUCACGGACAAGACGAGGAGUCUCGAAAUGUUUGAUACGUAAAGAUCAAUAUAUUGGACGACUAUAUUUGGAUAUCGGAAUGGUUCCGGGUGAGAUCAGGAUAAUACCGGAGCACCGGGAGGUUAUUGGAACCCUCCCCCCCGGAGGUAUAUGGGCCUUAAUGGGCUUUAGUGGAAAGGAGGGAAAAGGAGCAAGGGAGGGGGCGCCCCCCCCCCCCCCAAGCCCAAUCCGAAUAGGGAAGGGGGCCACCCCCCUUUCCUUCCUCCCUCCUUCCUCUUCCUUCCCUCCCCCUCUCCAAAUAGGAAAAGGAGGAGUCCUACUCCCGAUGGGAGUAGGACUCCCCCCUUGGGCGCGCCUCCUCCCCUUGACCAGCCCUCUCCUCCCCUCCUUUAUAUACGGAGGAGAGGGGCACCCCAUAGACAGAACAAUUGAUCUCUUGGAUCUUUUAGCCGUGUGCGGUGCCCCUCUCCACCAUAGUCCACCUCGAUAAUAUCGUAGCGGUGCUUAGGCGAAGCCCUGCGACGGUAGAACAACAUCGUCACCACGCCCUCGUGCUGAUAGAACUCUCCCUCACAGCUCGGCUGGAUAGGAGUUCGAGGGAUGAAACCGAGUUGAACGUGUGCAGAACUCGGAGGUGCCGUGCGUUCGGUACUUGAUCGGUCGGAUCGUGAAGACAUACGACUACAUCAACCGCGUUGUGCUAAUGCUUCCGCUUUCGGUCUACAAGGGUACGCGGACACACUCUCCCCUCUCGUUGCUAUGCAUCACCAUGAUCUUGCAUGUGCGUAGGAAAUUUUUUGAAAUUACUACGUUACCCAACAGUGGUAUCAGAGCCAGGUUUUAUGCGUUGAUGUUAUAUGCACGAGUAGAAAACAAGUGAGUUGUGGGCGAUACAAGUCAUACUGCUUACCAGCAUGUCAUACUUUGGUUCGGCGGUAUUGUUGGAUGAAGCGGCCCGGACCGACAUUACGCGUACGCUUACGCGAGACUGGUUCUACCGACGUGCUUUGCACACAAGUGGCUGGCGGGUGUCAGUUUCUUCAACUUUAGUUGAACCGAGUGUGGCUACGCCCGGUCCUUGAGAAGGUUAAAACAGCACUAACCUGACGAACUAUCGUUGUGGUUUUGAUGCGUAGGUAAGAACGGUUCUUGCUCAGCCCGUAGCAGCCACGUAAAACUUGCAACAACAAAGUAGAGAACGUCUAACUUGUUUUUGCAGGGCAUGUUGUGAUGUGAUAUGGUCAAGACAUGAUGCUAUAUUUUAUUAUAUGAGAUGAUCAUGUUUUGUAAUCGAGUUAUCGGCAACUGGCAAGAGCCAUAUGGUUAUCGCUUUAUUGUAUGCAAUGCAAUCGCCCUGUAAUUGCUCUACUUUAUCACUAGGCGGUAGCGAUAGUCAUAGAAGCAAUAGUUGGCGAGACGACAAUGAUGCUACGAUGGAGAUCAAGGUGUCGCACUGGUGACGAUGGUGAUCAUGACGGUGCUUCGGAGAUUGAGAUCACAAGCACAAGAUGAUGAUGGCCAUAUCAUAUCACUUAUAUUGAUUGCAUGUGAUGUUUAUCUUUUAUGCAUCUUAUUUUGCUUUGAUUGACGGUAGCAUUAUAAGAUGAUCUCUCACUAAAUUUCAAGAUAAAAGUAUUCUCCCUGAGUAUGCACCGUUGCCAAAGUUCGUCGUGCCCAGACACCAUGUGAUGAUCGGGUAUGAUAAGCUCUAUGUCCAUCUACAACGGGUGCAAGCCAGUUUUGCACACGCAGAAUACUCAGGUUAAACUUGACGAGCCUAGCAUAUGCAGAUAUGGCCUUGGAACACCGAGACCGAAAAGUCGAGCUUGAAUCAUAUAGUACAUAUGAUCAACAUAAUGAUGUUCACCAUUGAAAACUACUCCAUUUCACGUGAUGAUCAGUUAUGGUUUAGUUGAUUUGGAUCACAUGAUCACUUAGAUGAUUAGAGAGAUGUCUAUCUAAGUGGGAGUUCUUAAAGUAAUAUGGUUAAUUGGACUUUAAUUUAUCUUGAACUUAGUCCUGGUAGUAUUAGCAUAUCUAUGUUGUAUAUCAAUAGCUCGCGUUUAGCUCCCCUGUUUUAUUUUUGAUAUGUUCCUAGAGAAAACUAAGUUGAAAGAUGUUAAUAGCAAUGAUGCGGAUUGGAUCCGUGAUCUGAGGAUUAUCCUCACUGUUGCACAGAAAUAUUAUGUCCUUGAUGCACCGCUAGGUCACAGACCUAUUGCAGGAGCAGAUGCUGACGUUAUGAACAUUUUGACAAAAGCUCGGUAUGAUGACUACUUGAUAGUUUAGUGCACCAUGCUUUACGACUUAGAACCGGGACUUCAAAAAUGUUUUGAACGCCACGGAGCAUAUAAGAUAUUCCAAGAAUUGAAAUUGGUAUUUCAUACUCAUGCCAGUGUCGAGAGGUAUGAGACCUCUGACAUUACUUUGCCUACAAGAUGGAGGAGAAUAGCUCAACCAGUAAGCAUGUGCUCAGAUUGUCUGAGUACUACAAUCACUUGAAUCAAGUGGGAGUUAAUCUUCUAGAUAAUAUAGUGAUUGACAGAGUUCUCUAGUCACUAUCACCAAGUUGUUAGAACUUCAUGAUGAACUAUAAUAUGCAAGGGAUAACGGAAACGAUUCCCAAGCUCUUCAUGAUGCUGAAAUCGACGAAGGUAAAAAUCAAGAAAAGCAUCAAGUGUUGAUGGUUAACAAGACCACUAUUUUCAAGAAAAGGGCAAAUGGAAUAAGGGGAAUUUCAAGAAGAACGGCAAGCAAGUUGCUGCUCAAGUGAAGAAGCCCAAAUCUAGACCUAAGCCUGAGACUAAGUGCUUUUACUGCAAAGGGACUAGUCACUGGAAGUGGAACUGCCCCAAGUAUUUGGCAGAUAAGAAGGAUGGCAAAGUGAACAAAGGUAUAUUGGAUAUACAUGUUAUUGAUGUGUACUUUACUAGUGUUUAUAGCAACCCCUCAGUAUUUGAUACUAGUUCAGUUGCUAAGAGUAGUAACUUGAAAUGGUAGUUGGACAAUGAACAGAGACUAGUUAAGGGUGGAGCAACGAUGUGUGUUGGAAGUAGUUCCAAGAAUGAUAUGAUCGUCAUCGCACACUCCCUAUACUUUCAGGAUUAGUGUUGAACCUAAAUAAGUGUUAUUUGGUGUUUUCGUUGAGCAUGAAUAUGAUUUGAUCAUGUUUAUUGCAAUACGGUUAUUCAUUUAAGUUAGAGAAUAAUUGUUAUUCUGUUUACAUGAAUAAAACCUUCUAUGGUUAUACACCCAAUGAAAAUGGUUUGUUGAAUCUUGAUUGUAGUGAUACACAUAUUCAUAAUAUUGAAGCCAAAAGAUGCAAAGUUAAUAAUGAUAGUGCAACUUAUUUGUGGCACUGUCGUUUAGGUCAUAUUGGUGUAAAGCGCAUGAAGAAAAUCCAUGCUGAUGGGCUUUUGGAAUCACUUGAAUAUAAAUCAGUUGAUGCUUGCGAACCAUGCCUCAAGGGUAAAGAGGACUAAGACUCCGUUCUCCAGAACAAUGGAGCGAGGAACUGACUUAUUGGAUAUAAUACAUACUGAUGUAUGAGGUCCGAUGAGUGUUGAGGCUCGCGGCGGGUAUCGUUAUUUUCUGACCUUCACAGAUAAUUUGAGCAGAUAUGGGUAUAUCUACUUGAAGAAACAUAAGUCCGAAACAUUUGAAAAGUUUAAAGAAUUUCAGAGUGAAGUGGAAAAUCAUCGUAACAAGAAAAUAAAGUUUCUACGAUCUGAUCGUAGAGGCAAAUAUUUGAGUUACGAGUUUGGUCUUCAAUUAAAACAAUAUGGAAUAGUUUCACAAACUCAUGCCACCUGGAACACCAUAGCGUAAUGGUGUGUCCGAAAGUCAUAACUGUGCUUUAUUUGAUAUAGUGCAAUCUAUGAUGUCUCAUACCGAUUUACCACUAUCAUUUUGGGGUUAUGCAUUAGAGAUAGCUGCAUUCACAUUAAAAAGGGCACCAUCUAAAUCUGUUGAGAUAACACCGUAUGAACUGUGGUUUAGCAAGAAACCUAAGGUGUCGUUUCUUAAAGUUUGGGGUUGCGAUGCUUAUGUGAAAAAGGUUUAUCUUGAUAAGCUCAAACCCAAAUCGAAGAAGUGCGUCUUCAUAGGAUACCCAAAAGUAACUGUUGGGUACACCUUCUAUCACAGAUCCGAAGGCAAGAUAUUUGCUGCUGAGAAUAGAUCCUUUCUAGAGAAGGAGUUUCUCUCGAAAGAAGUGAGUGGGAGGAAAGUAGAACUUGAUGAGGUAACUGUACCUGCUCCCUUAUUGGAAAGUAGUUCAUCACAGAAAUCUGUUUCUGUGACUCCUACACCAAUUAGUGAGGAAACUAAUGAUGAUGAUCAUGUAACUUCAGAUCAAGUUAUUACCAAACCUCUUAGGUCAACCAGAGUGAGAUCCGCACCAGAGUGGUACGGUAAUCCUGUUCUGGAGGUCACGUUAAUUGACCAUGACGAACCUACGAACUAUGAGGAAGCGAUGAUGAGCCCAGAUUCCGCGAAAUGGCUUGAGGCAUGAAAUCUAAUAUGGGAUCCAUGUAUGAGAACAAAGUGUGGACUUUGGUUAACUUGCCCGAUGAUCGGCAAGCCAUAGAAAAUAAAUGGAUCUUCAAGAGGAAGACGGACAGUGAUAGUAGUGUUGCUAUCUACAAAGCUCGAAUUGUCGCAAAAUGUUUUCGACAAGUUCAAGGUGUUGACUACGAUGAGAUUUUCUCACUCGUAUCGAUGCUUAAGUCCGUCCGAAUCAUGUUAGCAAUUGCCGCAUUUUAUGAUUAUGAAAUUUGGCAAAUGGAUGUAAAGACUGCAUUCCUGAAUGGAUUUCUGGAAGAAGAGUUGUAUAUGAUGCAACCUGAAGGUUUUGUCGAUCCUAAAGGUGCUAACAAAGUGAGCAACCUCCAGCGAUCCAUCAAUGGACUGGUGCAAGCUUCUCGAAGUUGGAAUAAACGUUUUGAUAGUGUGAUCAAAGCAUAUGGUUUUAUACAGACUUGCGGUGAAGCCUGUAUUUACAAGAAAGUGAGUGGGAGCACUACAACAUUUCUAAUAAGAAGUGUGAAUGACAUAUUGUUGAUCGGAAAUAAUGUAGAAUUUUCUGGAAAGCAUAAAGAAGUAUUUGAAAUGAGUUUCUCAAAUAAAGACCUCGAUGAAGCUACUUACAUAUUGAGCAUCAAGAUCUAUAGAGAUAGAUCAAGACGCUUGAUAAGUUUUUUCAAUGAGUGCAUACCUUGACAAGAUUUUGAAGUAGUUCAAAAUGGAACAGUCAAAGAAAGAGAUCUUACCUGUGUUACAAGGUGUGAAAUUGAGUAAGACUCAAAGCCCGACCACGGCAGAAGAUAGAAAGAGAAUGAAAGUCAUUCCCUAUGCCUCAACCAUAGUUUCUAUAAAGUAUGCCAUGCUGUGUACCAGAUCUAUUGUAUACCCUACACUGAGUUUAGCAAUGGAAUACAAUAGUGAUCUAGGAGUAGAUCACUGGAUAGCGGUCAAAAUUAUCCUUAGUGGAAUAAGGAAAUAUUUCUCGACUAUGGAGGUGAUAAAAGAGUUCGUCGUAAAGAGUUACGUCGAUGCAAGCUUUUUACAUCGAUCUAGAUGACUCUAAGUCUCGAUCUGGAUACAUAUUAAAAGUGGGAGCAAUUAGCUAGAGUAGCUCCAUGCAAAGCAUUGUUGACACAGAAAUUUUCAAAAUACAUAUGGAUCUGAAUGUGGCAGACCCGUAGACUAAACUUCUCUCACAAGUAAAACAUGAUCACACCUUAGUACUCUUUGGGUGUUAAUCGCAUAGCGAUGUGAACUAGAUUAUUGACUCUAGUAAACCCUUUGGGUGUUGAUCACAUGACGAUGUGAACUAUGGGUGUUAAUCACAUGGUGAUGUGAACUAUUGGUGUUAAAUCACAUGGCGAUGUGAACUAGAUUAUUGACUCUAGUGCAAGUGGGAGACUGAAGGAAAUAUGCCCUAGAGCCAAUAAUAAAGUUAUUAUUUAUUUCCUUAUUUCAUGAUAAAUGUUUAUUAUUCAUGCUAGAUUUGUAUUAACCGGAAACAUAAUACAUGUGUGAAUACAUAGACAAACAUAGUGUCACUAGUAUGCCUCUACUUGACUAGCUCGCUAAUCAAAGAUGGUUAAGUUUCCUAACCAUAGACAUGAGUUGUCAUUUGAUUAACGGGAUCACAUCAUUAGGAGAAUGAUAUGAUUGACUUGACCCAUUCCGUUAGCUUAGCACUUGAUCGUUUAGUAUUCUGCUAUUGCUUUCUUCAUGACUUAUACAUGUUCCUAUGACUAUGAGAUUAUGCAACUCCCGUUUACCAGAGGAACACUUUGUGUGCUACCAAACGUCACAACGUAACAGGGUGAUUAUAAAGGUGCUCUACAGGUGUCUCCGAAGUUACUUGUUGGGUUGGCGUAUUUCGAGAUUAGGAUUUGUCACUCCGAUUGUCGGAGAGGUAUCUCUGGCCCCUCGGUAAUACACAUCACUUAAGCCUUGCAAGCAUUGCAACUAAUGAGUUAGUUGCGGGAUAAUGUGUUAUGGAACGAGUAAAGAGACUUGCCAGUAACGAGAUUGAACUAGGUAUUGAGAUACCGACGAUCGAAUCUCGGGCAAGUAACAUACCGAUGGCAAAGGGAACAACGUAUGUUGUUAUGCGGUUUGACCGAUAAAGAUCUUCGUAGAAUAUGUAGGAGCUAAUAUGAGCAUCCAUGUUCCGCUAUUGGUUAUUGAACGGAGACGUGUCUCAGUCAUGUCUACAUAGUUCUCGAACCCGUAGGGUCCGCACGCUUAAAGUUCGAUGACGGCUAUAUUUUGAGUUUAUGGUUUUUGAUGAACCGAAGGUAAUUCAGAGUCCUGGAUGUGAUCACGGACAAGACGAGGAGUCUCGAAAUGUUCGAGACGUAAAGAUCGAUAUAUUGGACGACUAUAUUUGGAUACCAGAAUGGUUCCGGGUGAGAUCGGGAUAAUACCGGAGCACCGGGAGGUUAUCGGACCCCCCCGGAGGUAUAUGGGCCUUAAUGGGCUUUAGUGGAAAGGAGGUAAAAGGAGAAAGGGAGGGGGCGCCCCCCCCCCCCCAAGCCCAACCCGAACUGGGAAGCCCCCCCCCUUUCCUUCCUCCCUCCUUCCUCUUCCUUCCCUCUCCCUCUCCAAAUAGGAAAAGGAGGAGUCCUACUCCCGGUGGGAGUAGGACUCCCCCCUUGGGCGCACCUCCUCCCCUUGGCCGGCCCUCUCCUCCCCUCCUUUAUAUACGGAGGAGAGGGGCACCCCAUAGACACAACAAUUUAUCUCUUGGAUCUUUUUGCUGUGUGCGGUGCCCCUCUCCACCAUAGUCCACCUCGAUAAUAUUGUAGCGGUACUUAGGCGAAGCCCUGUGACGGUAGAACAUCAACAUCGUCACCACGCCGUUGUGCUGAAGGAACUCUCCCUCAAAGCUCGGCUGGAUCGGAGUUUGAGGGACGUCAUCGAGUUGAACGUGUGCAGAACUCAGAGGUGCCGUGCGUUCGGUACUUGAUCGGUCGGAUCGUGAAGACAUACGACUACAUCAACCGCAUUGUGCUAAUGCUUUCGCUUGCGGUCUACAAGGGUACACGGACACACUCUCCCCUCUCGUUGUUAUGCAUCACCAUGAUCUUGCGUGUGCGUAGGAUUUCUUUUUAAAUUACUAUGUUACCCAACAUUAGACUCCUCCACUUUAUCUUACUCCUCACAUUCCCAUCAUCCGACAUAGUAUGACGACAUCUCAGCCCCUUGUAUUCACAUCACACGGUGUUCAAAUCGCACGAGCCACGAGGCCUUGUUUUUUAAACAGAAGUGGUGUACCCAAGCACCCCUAAUGAAAUUGGCGUUCCCUUGAUCCAAAGAAAAAAAGAGUAAAAAGAAACCAAACACUCCCCCCCCCACAUACACCUCCAGCGUUCCUAUGCACCGAAUUGUACACAACCAAUAGUUUCUACAUUGCUACACAUGAAUGAUGCUUACAGUUGAAAUAAAAGGCAACUCAUUGUCGCUUACAACUAAAUAGCAAAAGGAUACUAGGAGUAGAGUUUGACAUAGGCUAGAGUAAGUGCAUUAUAUAUCCUUAUUUCUGUUUCGCAAUUUUUUUUCCUUAUUUCUAGUGUGUGAUUGCCACCCAAGAUUGCAAUAGAACACCAGGUCAACUGACAAUCCAAUCCCUGGUGUUCUAUUAUAUGUCGAGUUAAAUACUAAAAAGUGCUACUAGGAGUAGAGUAUGAGAUGAACGAGAGUAAGUGCAUUAUGUAUAUCCUCAAUUAUAGUGUGCGGUCACCACCCAAGAUUGCAACAGAACACCAAUUUGGCUGACGAAACCAAUCUAGUCCAAUCGCUUAUUGAACUAAAAGUCGGUAUAUGUACUUAGGAGUUGCCUAACUAAAGCAUGCGGUUCAACUUGAUAGAUCUAGUAAGAUUCAACUCGAUAAUCGUUUAAUUCCUAAUGGUUUCUAUAAAAAAUAGUUACAAUAACUAACUCAAACGAAAUAUAAGCGAACAAUCAAACAUCGACCGGCUCACAUGGCUUCCAAAUAAAACUAAUUAACAGAUCGAGUAAUACAUUGUUUAUUCCUUGCUCUUAAUAUGAGGUUAUACAUAACAUAUUUUGGUCCAUCCUGAAGUAAGUAUUACGUAACAAGUACUAGCUAGUAUUUCAGUCUCUACUAGCAAAUGUUGCAAUAGCAAACAGCCUUGAUGGCGUUCUUCUUAUCACAGUGGUAGUCCUUGAGGCUGCCCUUCCUAUCACGUGCAAACACGUCACACGUGGCCUUGCAUAGAGGCUUGGUGCAGAAAAACUCCCCGCCGUCGUCAACGACCGCGAAAUUGUGCUGCACAACACCAAGAAAACACAAACCAUUAUAUUAGAAUAUUAGCGACAAACCCCCAUUAGAUUAGAUUAUACGUAUUUGACAAACACAAUUAAACACACCUGCAGAAAUAGGAGUACCCACAAGUGUUAGCACCACGAGGAAGCAAACAAUAGCAGCCCGUGUGUCCAUCCCAAGAGUUCUCUCCUUUUUUGAACUAGAAGGAAAAAUAUGUGUUCUCUUCGUCUAUUUUAAUUUGGCUAUGGGACUAAUGUUUAUGUCUUGAAGUGCUUGGAGUGUUGUCUUAUAUAGACUUAUUGAAAGGGACAAAAAUAAAAGCAUUUAAAUGAUUGUUAAACUUAGCAAAAGAGAUAGAGGUGAGUCACACCCCAAAAAUGGAAGCACUUAAUGCUGGGUGAGAAAUUAAAUGACGAAGGCAAAGAAUAUAUGAGUGAUGUUUAUCCAAUAAUCAAGGCUUUAAUUUUCGACUACAAAAUAAGCAUGACCAUUCAAAAAAUGGAGUCAUCUUUUUGUCGCUGGUGACAUUGAUCAAACAUGGUUUUUUAUAAAAAAAAAUGUAUAGCCACUUUAAUUGCAAACACCAUUGUGCAUUGAAAUUCAGUUGACUUCAACAAAACAAUCAAUAUGAAUUGCAUGCUUGAUAUGUAACCAACUAAAACUAAAAUUGUAUGUUGUCUCGAGUUGACUAAAUCACCAUUUUUGGCUAGACAAUGUUUAAAACUGUGUCAACUGUGUCAAUUUGCACGGCGCCUGGGACAAUGCAAUGUCAAAUCUUGCACUAUUUUAAACCACCACAAGAUAAGCAAGCUGAGUUGGCCCGGGCCUCUUGCCAGACGCUGGCAUCCACCUCGAAAUCUAUAUCAAUAUAUUUUUUGUAUCACAUGAAUCAUAUAGUAUUGGUCUAAAAUAUAUUUUCUCUUGUUGCAAAAUAUGAAAGAAAAAUCGGCACAACAAUAUUAUAUAGACCCAUCGCAACAAUAGCAUGCUUCACAGUCGGUGGGUCCCAUGUAAAGACAUUUGGAAAUACCUCAAAAAUGCAUAUGUGUACUAUUUAUUAUUGUCCAAGAAUUUCACAUGCUCACUCACAACAAACUGUUGAAGAAUUCCGUGCAACUUAGAAACUAACGUAUGCAACAACGCGAGCACAACAUUUGUGUUAGGACUAACAAAAUUACAUUACAUUGUAGCAUGUCACACAUGUGUAUGUAGUAUGACGCAAAUGAGUUCACAGCAUACCAAAACAACGAAUGGUAACUACAAAAAAUUCCCAUAAAUCUAACAUUUUACAACCAAAAAAUUUGGUGGGCACUGACCUCACCUCAUCAAACUUGCUCUAAUAUUCUAGUUAGUGUAGAGUUUUGGAUUAAGCUAAAGUUGCUCUAGUAUUAUGCCACAACAAAAAGGAAAGAAAUGGGGGAAAACAAAGAAGAGCGGAGCAGGGUGGCUUACUCGGAUCUAAGUCGGCCAAUAUCAAUCGCAUUGCCCUCCUAAAUCCUGAUUACUCAAGCCAGCCCAAAAUUGAGGGGCUACUAAAAUAGAAGUUGAGCCUAUGGUGCAAGAACAGAAAAGCCAUUGGAUUGGAUAUGGAUAGCACAUGAUCUGGUGGAGCGAUCUCAGGCCACUUUUUGUAUAUUUUAUGAAAAAACCCUAUUAACAGUUAGGUACAAAACAAAACAUUCGCAGUGACCACCUUAAGUAUCUCAUCUCCCAAUCCAAUAGUGGAGUUAACGACCAUUUACAGAUUUCAGGUUUUUUCCAGCGACCAUUUAUAGAAUUUGCACAACCUCAUAUCCUAUCAGUUUUAUAAAAUAUAUUUUCACAUACCGAGCACAAAUAUAUGGUUGUAAGAAUGAAGAACUCAUACUCAUGCUUGUUUUAAUUCUAGUAUUUACACCCCUAAGGUUGUUAAGGUCCGGUUACAAAAACUCGAAUUUAAUUCUCUUAUAAGAACUUGUUAGAGUCCUGUCAUAGUGCACAUCCUCUCGUGGAUUCGAUAACUCAAGGUUGCUCCUUCGGGAAAAGGGAGGGAAACCUUUGUUGUCCAAACCGGAUCUCAAAGAGCACCACCCAUCUCUCACCCUACUCGAUGAUACAACAUCGACGACCAGGUACGUGUGUAACCAACCGUCUGCUCCCUCGCUCUGUCACUGUGGUGCUAUUCAUUACAUCAAGUCGGGACCCAUUUCCUUCCUUUUGAGGUUAACAAUUAAGGUUUCUAGUCUAUAUGAGGGCCUUCGGAUUCAACUUAUAAGAAUGUUAGUUCAAAUUUAAUGAUGAUUAUUUCAAGUGGAUGGUUAUGUGAACUAGGUUGGUAGAGUGGUGGCCGACCACUGUUGCGGCGGACUUCAGGGAUGUUUGAUCUAUCCACCUGGCUUGAUCAAGCAGCGUCGACAUUUGUGCAUCAUUAUUUUGUUGAAUAUGUUCGUUCGAUUUGCUUGUUGCAGGGGUGAUAGCCUCUGGUCCGACGUUUGGUUACACGAGACAAUAAGCUCCCCUUGCAAAAGUGUAUGAUGUGGGAAUUACGUGUUGUACUCCUCAGGUGCAAACGCACGUAUAUAUGAUGUACAGGAGUAGGCCACGACCUCAAUUAUACAAGGCAACUAGGAGGUGGGCCCAAUACACAAAUAUGCACAACAAAGACUGGACCGGAACUCCUCAAAAUGAUGCCGUAGGCAAGUCCUUGGUCAUGGUAUAUGCAAAUUGUUGGGAAGUAGGGACGUGUAAAACACGAAUAUGGCCAAGGGCCACCUAUUCCCGAACAAAAUGAAUAUCCAACUCAAUAUGCUUGGUCCGUCGAUGAUGCACCGGGUUAGCGGAGAGGUAGACUGCCGAGACGUUGUCGCAAUAGACCACCGUGGCACGGUCAACAGGGAAAGAGAGCUCCUGAAGCAGCUGGCGAAGCCACGAACACUCGGCGACGGUGUUGGCCACCGCAGGAUACUCAGCCUCAGCGUUGGAACGAGAGACCGUAGGCUGCCGCGUGGAUGACCACGAGAUAAGUGAGGGUCCAAGGUAGACACAAUAGCCCGAGGUGGAGCGACGAGUUUUAGGGCAGCCCGCCCAGUCUGCAUUGAAGUAGGCGGCGAGGGCAGUGUCGGCGGAGGCAUGAAGCGUGACACCAAGAUCCAUAGUGCCACAGACAUAGCGGAGAAUCCGUUUGACAACGGCCCAGUGCAUCUCGAGGAGCAUGCAUAUGAAGACACACCUGCUGCACGACAUACUGGAUCUCUGGUUGAGUUAAAGUGAGGUACUGAAGAGCACCAACAAUAGACCGAUAAAAAGCAGCAUCCGAAGCAGGAGAACCAUCCGUGGCAGAAAGCUUGGCCUUUGUAUAAACAGGCGUAGCAGCGGGCUUGUAGUUAAGCAUGUUGGCCCGCUCCAGGAGCUCAUGAGCAUACUUCCGCUGAUGAAAGAAGAAGCCAUCCGGACGGCACACCACCUCGACACCGAGGAAGUUGUGCAAAGGACCCAAGUCCUUGAUGGCAAACUCAGCGCGAAGACGAGCCAUGAGCUGACCGAGGAGACCAACCAUACAUGCCGUCAGGAUGACGUCGUCGACAUAGAGCAGAAAGUAGGCCGUGUUAGAGCCCUGAUGAUAGACGAAGAGCGAGGCGUCCGAGCGGGUGGAGCGGAACCCAAGCUGGUGGAGAAACGCUGCGAUGCGCUGGUACCAAGCACGCAGAGCCUUCUUAAGUUCAUACAAGGACCGCGAAAGCAGGCACACGUGGUCGGGAAGCGCCGGGUCAACAAACCCGGUGUGCUGCUGGCAGAAGACCUGCUACUCCAGGUGACCAUGGAGCAAGGCGUUGGAGACGUCCAUCUGGUGCACCGGCCAAGCACGGGAGACUGCAAGGUGGAGAACCGUGUGUAUCGUGUCGGGCUUGACGACCAGAGCGAAGGUGUCGAUGAAGUCGAUGCCAGCACGCUGUCGGAAGCCACGAACGACCCAACGCGGUUUGUAGCGAUCAAAGGUACCAUCGGGACGGAGGUUGUGUUUGAAGACCCACUUCCCGGUAAUCACGUUGGCGUGCUGAGGACAGGAAACAAACAUAGAAGAUUUGACUUUAGAAAAAAAAUAGUACAACUUAUCUAUACCUAAUAUUAAAGGACGGAGAUUUUUAUAGUUCUCCAUACAUCUAACUUUAUUAAUAGUCUUCAUCGGCCCACCGGAGCAAGACAAUAAGUAGGCCUGGAAACACUCGAUUCAAUGGGCCUGAAAAAUAAACGGGCAUGCAUCCUCUCUCGCUCAUCUCUCUCCUCUCGAACCCCUCAUAAAAAAUUUCUCUCCUCUCGAUCCCUUCGCUCUCUACUACGAGCGCUCCUGGGGCAGACAUGUUCUCCCUUCUCUCUACCGCUGCGGAUGGCCCAACUUGACUCCGAGACGAACUCUGCUCGAGCACGCACCCAUAGGGUGUCCCGACAGGUUCUUUGCGGUUCCGCAGGCUGGUCUAGGAACAUAUAGAAACAAAUUGACGCCAUCAAACGAAGCCCCAGCUCAAUUGCCUGGUUGCGGAGUGCGGCGGCAUGUCGAGCCGAACGCCGGCAAGAUCAUACAGGAUGAGGCAGUAGAUGCCAACGAUAGUGUGCGUCACCCAACUCGACGCAGGCGAGGAAGAUGAGCAGGACGGCGUUGGAGCUCAGCAGGGCGCCGACGAGAACGUACGGGAAGAGGCGGUAGACGCCGAUGGCGGUGUAGGUAACCCACCCAGCUCGACGAAGGUGAGGAAGAUGAGUAGGACGGGGGGUAGCCGGGGAUUUGAAGAGGACUCGGAAGGGCUACACGAGCAUGACCAGGUCGUCACUGAAUCGGAUCCGUCACCUCAUGCGGCUGAGCUGUUAGAGGACGAUGCAGAGGCUCUGGUCAAAGGCGACCAUGAUGGAUGUGUCACCGCCGGCCACGCGAUAGAGGAAGAAGGUGAGGCUCAAGAGCCGGCCAGCCGAGUGGACGUGCCGGUGCAGUUGUGACCGCUCGGGAGGUUGAAGGCAAGCGAGGGAGCUCAUGCGGCGACGUCGGCAAGGCUCGGUGGCGAGAUAGCGCAGAAGAGCGGUGCAGCGGAGCGACAACCACGAUGCUAGGGCGUUGCGGAGAGAAAGGAUGAAGAGAGAUAGGGCAAGGGAGUCCUACUGCUGGUGGAGGCACGCAGGAGGAGCUCGAGCAUCAGUUGGCGGGCGAAGCAAGGAGUCGCAGGGCUUUCCAGCGACUAUGAUGGUGCGGGUUGAUCUGGGGAGGCUGGGAGAGCUGCCUCCUAGGGGCGCUGGUUCGGGUUGACGUGUGCGUCAUGUGCACUGCUACAAAAUUGCUGGAUAUGUGUAUCUAUAUGUGUGCGGCUGCGAUUUGAAAGUCGUAGCAAUGCACAGGCUUAUAAUUAAAUAAUUAUAUAUCUUUACUUGUUCAGUAGCAACACAUGCUAGCAAGCAGCAGAGACAGUAUACUAUGUUGGCGAUCAUUUGGCGAGCGAGCAGUUGAAUUGCUGCUGGCAUGCAUUGUGCAGGGGCAUGUUCGCUUGGGUCUUGGGACGAAAUCGACUGAGUCAAUAAAUAAUUUUUUAAAAGGAUAUUAGACCCUCGGCCUCUGCAUCAUUCAUUAUGAUGCACACAAAUAUUUUUAGCAAAGUUAGCCAUGGGUCGAACCAUUAGAUAUCAAAUAGACAUCUACAACUAAGUCGACUUCUGCUGCAACAUCUCUUCAAGAAGGGAUAAACUUUCUCGCCAUCGACCGAAACAAUCCGUAAGAAGAAGAAAAUGAUCACACAUGUGAAACAUAAUUGUCAAUACAAAUACAUGACACAUGGUGGUACGAACACACAUCACGAUGGAAGAAUACCAGCAACUUAAAAGCAAGCCUACAUCAAAUCUAUAUUUCAUUAGUAUUUAGUCCAUAUUUUUAUUUCUAUCAACCUAAACUCCAAUUACGUUAAAAUUUAGGUUUGAACUGCAGAUAUGAGAUUUCGAAUUUAAAGAUUGAACGUAUAUUUAAAGUUCUCAUAGUAUGUGUCUAUUUUUUGGGGUGUCUUUUUACUCGAUAGGAAUCCAAUUCAAUGCUCAAAAUCAAAUAACAAGAUUAUUGCUACAUAUUUUGAUAAAGCUAAAUUUUACUUGAAUUUUGGAUGUAGUUUAGACAAAUAAUUCUCACUAAAUCUUACUAUGGGCCAAUUUUUCUCUACCGUUGCAACACACCGGAUCGAGAGUUUCCAAGAAAACAUUGUCAGUCAGAUGCAUUUACUCCAGAUCAUAACUCAUGUCCUAAGCUUCACGUCGUGAUCCUCAAAUCAUGCAUCUUUUUAUUUUCUCAUCAUCAACCGUUGUGACAUGACACAGUUCCUCGACCUGGCCAACCAUGGUUCAUAGGAACUGGUAUAUUUCUCCCGCUGCAACGCACGGGCAUUCGUGCUAGUAUUUUGAAACGGGAGUUAGUAGGUACACCAAUAAUUCGAUAUACCCACAAAAUGCUGGCUCUAGUUCCUUUCAUGGCUCCUUUGAUGUAAGAAAGAUGCUAGUAGUGACUAGAGACAAAGGGAAUCAAAUUAUGGGAGGAGGCGGCCCUAUCUAUAUUCCUCUUCUCCAAGCGGUAGCUCCCGUCCAUCCUUUGCCAAAAGUGGAGCAUCUCUCAUUUCCUUCUUCAUCUUCUCCUCCUCCUCCUUUCUUGAUGCUCACUCGCCUAUAAAUAGCUCUCGCUGCCUGCCAUUGUUACUCAAGCUAGCAAGCAAGAAGCACAAAAGAAGCCAACACCAAUCAAGGCCUCCAUCCAAUCCCAAGCAACCUCGAAGAUGUCUUGCUGCGGAGGAAGCUGCGGCAGCGCCUGCAAGUGCGGCAACGGCUGCGGCGGCUGCAACAUGUACCCCGAGGUCGAGGCCGCCGGCGCCACCCUCCUCGUCGCCGCCACCGCCACCCACAAGGCGUACGUCCCUUCUCUUUCCUCAUACAUCAUGCGCCUCGCUGUAAUAUGACUAUAUAUGUUGAUCUUGCUAUGGGACUAAGGAUGGAUGGAUGGGUGCAGGAGCUCCGGCGGGAUGGAGAUGGCGGCGGAGAAUGGCGGCUGCGGCUGCAC
rnacentral:lncRNA from 1 species